GCUCAACCGGGGAGGGUCAUUGGAAACUGGGGAACUUGAGUGCAGAAGAGGAGAGUGGAAUUCCACGUGUAGCGGUGAAAUGCGUAGAGAUGUGGAGGAACACCAGUGGCGAAGGCGACUCUCUGGUCUGUAACUGACGCUGAGGCGCGAAAGCGUGGGGAGCGAACAGGAUUAGAUACCCUGGUAGUCCACGCCGUAAACGAUGAGUGCUAAGUGUUAGAGGGUUUCCGCCCUUUAGUGCUGCAGCAAACGCAUUAAGCACUCCGCCUGGGGAGUACGGUCGCAAGACUGAAACUCAAAGGAAUUGACGGGGGCCCGCACAAGCGGUGGAGCAUGUGGUUUAAUUCGAAGCAACGCGAAGAACCUUACCAGGUCUUGACAUCCUCUGACAACCCUAGAGAUAGGGCUUCCCCUUCGGGGGCAGAGUGACAGGUGGUGCAUGGUUGUCGUCAGCACGUGUCGUGAGAUGUUGGGUUAAGUCCCGCAACGAGCGCAACCCUUGAUCUUAGUUGCCAGCAUUCAGUUGGGCACUCUAAGGUGACUGCCGGUGACAAACCGGAGGAAGGUGGGGAUGACGUCAAAUCAUCAUGCCCCUUAUGACCUGGGCUACACACGUGCUACAAUGGGCAGAACAAAG
rnacentral:rRNA from 1 species